rnacentral:lncRNA from 1 species
GGGGCUUGGGACUUUGCCACAUGGGAUGCCUUUGGUUAGCGACUCCGCACAGCAUGGUUUCGGUCCUGUGUUCACCGAGGGACCUGCAUCGCUUUGGUCCACCCUGAGAAGAUGCCAUCUCACACAGGGCUGCAUGCAGGUGUGCCCAGCUGCCCCUCGGAGCACCAAGGAUGCAGAAUAAUGUGAUUUCACGAAGUGGGAAUGCGUGAGUCCUCGCCGCGCAGAGAGCGC